GGGCCAGCUGAAGGAGGCCCAAUAACCGAAGCUCGACCGGCUGGCAGAGCAGCAGAGCGAGGCGCUACGUGGGAGGGAUGAGCAGGUGGGUAAAGCGACCGAGGAGGUCGCCCAGCUAAAGGUAGUGUAUGAGCGACGGGCUAACGAGUGGUAGCUGAAGGAGCAGGUGGUGCUAGCUCAGGCACAACACAUCAACAUGCUCCUCUCUCGUAAGUUUUUGUUAGAUAUUCCAAACGGCAGUUAGAGUUUUAAUUGCAUACGUUGAGUUGAGUAUGUGAGUCGGCAAGUUGUAAUCACGGGGAGAUUGUGGUGAGCAAUCUGGUCUGUCAGUUAGACUUGUCGUGGUCGAGUUCGCAAGUAGAUAAGUUGGACUAGGGAGAGAUUGUUAGGUAUUCCAAACUGCAGUUAGAGAUUUAAUUGCAUACGUGAGUUAGUACGAGUCCUAGUUGUUGUUAGGUUGUGGGUUAGUCGGUUUUGUGUCCGUGUAAUGACAAGUCAUGUAAUCAACUAUUCUCUCCCUAAUAAUAAAGCAAAUACUGUUUCUGGUCGUCCAUCUUGAAAAUUACACCUAAAAUUUGCAUAAAUUACCCACCAUGCCACCGGUAAGUAAUAGAAAACGUUUUAUAAAGCAAAAAAUCUUGGACUGGGCCGGCCCAUGUAAAAACGUCAUAUAUUACGCUCUGCACGCUGAGAGAAUAUCCAACACACCGUAUGGGCCGGCCCAUGCACAGGCGCCUGCUUUUAGUUCCAUUUAUUUAUUUAUUUCCAGUUCCGCUUUAUUUUUUUAUUUUAAAUAAUUUAGAACUUUAAAUAAUCUUUAAAAUUUUAAUAAACUGAAAAUUAUAAAACAACACAUUUCAAAAAUUAAAAUGUUUGUGACUUCAAAAACUGAUCGGAGUUUUGUAAAAAAUACUCGCAUGUACAAUAAAAUGUUUGCAAUUUUAGAAAAAUAUUUUACAAUAAGAAAAUUCUGUGAUCUCAAAUACAAUUCCAUGUAUUAAAAAUUAUUAAAGGCAUUUAACAAAAUUCUUUCUAAUUCAAACUAUGUUAAUUCAUUGAAAAAAUGUCCUAAUAUUUUAAAAAUAGCUAAUGCCUGUUUUGAUAGUUUCUUUUUUUUAAUUUAAAAUUUUGCGCUCCAUUUUUGUUUAUUUAUAAUUUAAAUAAUUUAGAAUUACAAAAACUUUUGCAUACUAACAUAUAGGAAUUUCGAAUUAAAAUACUGACGAAUUUUUAUUUUGAAUUAAAAAUAGGAUUUAAAAAAAGCGCCGGAUUUUUAUAUAUUUUUUUGCAAAUUCCAAAACAAUGUCCAUGAAUUUAAUAAAUGUAUUACUUAUUUAUAAAAAUGUUUGUUUAUUCAGAAAACUUCAUGCGUUUCAAAAAAUGUUUGUGAAUUUAAAAUAAAAUCCUCCAACAUCAAAAAUUAUGUUCGUCUUUUCUUGAAUUGGUCGCCAAUUCCAAAGAAAAUAUUUAAACCCGUUCGAAGUAUAAAAAAUAUUCAUGAUUUUUAGUAAAUGUUUGUAAAUUGUAAAAAAUGUUCUUGAUUUUAUAAUUGUUCCCAUAUUUGUAAAAAAGUUCACGAAAGAUCUAAUGUAUGUAGUUAAACAUUAAUGCUUCUAAGUCUAUGUGACAAUAUAUCUGUGUGAAUUUUGAAGAAUUAACUGUUGGAUGCAUCGGAUUAUUAUUGUAUGUUUUCUAAAAAAAAUCUUGAAAUUCAGAAUAAAUCUUUGAGUUACCAAGAUUUUUGAAAAUGUAAAGAUUGCUUCAACUUGUGAAUACAUUUAAAAAAAGAAACUUUUUCUUAUAUUUGUGUAUAAAAUUUCUAAAUCAAGCGAUGAUAUGUGAACAUAGUGUGUUCAUCAUCAUUGGAGAUUAUGUUUUUUUUCUACCGUGGCAACGCACGGGUCAUUUUGCUAGUAUAAAUAAAAGAAGAACAGGCCCUGAAGAGCUACGGGCUGAGGGAAAAAAGGAUAUAUCGUGUAUUCACUAUUCCAAAUCGGUGAGUUAUUGCCGUAUCGAUCCAACAAUCGGGCGGCUAGUUCUUAUGUACGUAUAUGCUUAGCUAGUUCUGUACGUACACAUCUAGUUGCACCGGCGUUCGACGUAAAUCCGACAUACGACAAGCAGCGUGAUUUCCAGCAGUUUUCAGGCUGUCUCCUUGUCUUUGUGCCUGGUCGACAUUUGCAGCCGACCAAGGUCUUGGUUCCUUUCUCAUUUCUUCCCUUCAUCCAGGGGCCUUCCCUGAAACGAAAAAGUCAUCCGUGGAAGCCCACCGGGAGGAGCAGAGGGAGGGAGGUAGUCCACAUCGGGUUGGUUGCCGCCUGGAAGAUGGCGGAGGUGGGCAUCGCCACAGAGGCCCAGUGAAGAAGGUCGGCCGCGUCAUGAACCAGCUCCAUGAUGUCGGCUUAGCACUGGUGCGCAUCCUUUUGCCACACGUAGUGCAGACCACCGAGACCGUCAACCGGCUGGCAAGGUGGCUGGAGGGAGGGUUAGCACUGGUCAAUGCUUAGUGAGCCUCCACAGUCCGAGCCGUUGCGGAGAUGGCGUUCACCUUCAUGCAGAGACGGCGAUCCCUGUUGACACCUCCCUGCUGGCCCUCGAAGAACCGGAUGGCGGCGAGGCCAAGACGGAGGACGACGGGACCACCUCCAGCACCGAAGCGUAUGUUGAAGCCGACGUCGAGGUGGACAUCGGUGCCAUCAUAGAGCCAAAGCAGUCUGGGGUCAAUGCACCCACCGGCUAGAGUUUUUAAUUUGUUCCUGUCUUUUUUAUGAUGCUUGAACUGUUGUUACUUUGCAAGUGUUGAGUAAAUAGGCAAUUUUUCGAGCAGAUUAAUCCAUGAAAUAAUUACUAACAUGGCAUUGGCUAGGUUCAUGACAUACUGAUUACGGAGUAUAGUAGCAAGUACUACGCAUAUAGGAGAAACAUCUACGCAUAUAGGCAAUACUACUAGUGCAGACAGAAACAGGAGAGAGACAAACACAUCAUACCCCCCGAUCGGCCAGUUGGCCGUUGCAGCAGCGGUGGAGGCGGCAGUAUCCUCUACCGCCUUCUUCUCGGCUUCGGCCAUCUCGCGGACGAGACGGUCAGCUUCGUUUGGUGAAGACAUGGCGAUGAAGAGGGCUACGUGGACGUAGACGAAGCAGACGGACGAAGGCGAACAGUCGCGUGAUCUCUCCCCAAAAACCUAAUCGCCCUUCUCCCAUACAAGAACCGGAGAGGCGAGGUUUCGAAGGCCUGCUCUCCCGUCGACCGUGUACGUGGUAAAGGCGACGGAGUCGCCGGCACCGGCAGCGGUCAAGGAACGAACGCGUGAGGCAGAUGUGAUCUGAUUCUCGUGACGGCUAGGGUAGGCGAUAGCCUGCUUAUAAAGGCGGCUGGGUGGAGAGACGUGGGCCAAACCCACCUCCGAGUCGGUAACAACCACGAUCCGACGUCUCGGAUCGUGCCUUGUCCGUUACGUAUUCUCCGUUCCUGACUGACAAAAAUAAGCGCGUAGGUAUGAACUCACCUCGGCUCAUUCCCGCAACCCGCGUCGCGUCGGGACGAGGCGGGCAACGGAGGAGGAGUGCGUGAGGGCAUCUUCUCUUCUCACUCUCGAAUAGCAUGUGGAAGAGAGACCCUUAUAAAGGGGUCCAACUUCUCCUCCACUAGCGGGGUGGGACUAAACUUACCACCACCUUGUCAUGCCACCACCUACAUGGGCCCUUGGAGAUUUUUCUGAAAUUUGUCUUAUGGGCCUAAGGCCUAUCUCUAAUUUCAACAGCAAGUCCACCAACUAGGGUGUUGGUUUAUGUAAUAAACUUCUGGUUGUGUCCCCUUUGCUCUGUAUAUAAACAUGUUUGGUGCACAUAUGUGUUUUUCAAUGUUUUAAAUAACGGGCUACGGCAAAUAGCAGUGAGCCACUAAAUCAGCUAUAGCGGGCUAUAACGGCAUAUUUGUACAUGAUACCAUUUAGCGGCAUCUUGCUGAAAAGGCUAUAACGCAGAGCUAUAGCGGGCUAUUUAAAACUAUGUUUUUUUUUUGGUUGUUGGAUCACUUUUAGCCUCCAUCCGUGGUGCCAUAUUCUUGUAAUCCUCCUCUUUCAGCUUCCGCCCACUAGCCGGAUAGCAGGGCCAGGGAGAUGGUGUGUAGCUAGGACCGUGAGUAGGCCUUCAGGAAAUCAGGAGGGGGUACAAUACUUAGGAUUUUAGGACUUAAGAGGAACUACAAUACUUAGGAUUUCAGGACUAAUGUUUGAGCGAAUGACCGAAGGGAAACUGAACCGCAGAUGGCAUGGCCGGCUGAGUCGCAGCCAGAGAGUGCGCACGCUAAUACCUUGUGGAGCCGGGGCACUCGAGCUCGACAGUUUUCCUUAGCCGUUUUUCGUGUGAGGGUUCUUUCAUCCUUUAGCUCUUGCCAGUCGGACAGUCCGGAUCCGUUUUGUGCCUCAAGACGAAGAGAGGGCUUUGACACCGUGCACACUACUAGUCCGGCUCGAAAAAAAGGAGGGCUCAAGUUGUCCGUCUACCCCGGACCGGACGAGCCUGACCCGAGCAAACAAAAAGAAAUGCAAUAAAUAAUAGAAAAUGCUCGAUAGAUAUGAAAAGUUAUCACAGAGUGUCACUCGGGGUACCAUCUGCUUUCAUUAAACCAAAAGUGGCCAUUCAUACAUACACUAGCUCACGUGUAAAAUGGGCGGAGGAGCUCCGCGUUUCGUUGGAGCUCUGUAUCCUCGCCGGAGGCGUUCUUUUUAAGCUUUUUUAACUUGUGUGCGUCAAUGAGUUAGUACGCAUUAUUGUAUAGGGCCUUGCUAACGAUGAAGGGGCCCUCCCAUGUAAAGGACAAUUCAUGUUGGCUCGCUCUCAGCUGGACCGACCGGAGCACCAGGUCAAACUUGCGGAACGCGAGGAGACGAAUAUUCUUGAUGUGGUGGCGACGCAUGCUCUUCGGGUAACUGGCUGACCGGGUCAAGGCUGUCUUCAUGCACGUCCUUUCCUUCUACCUAUUUGUACAUGGUGAUGUAAGGCAAAUCGGACUUGAUGUCGGUUUAGAUAACCGCCUCGGCCCCAUACACUAGAAAGAAAGGGUUGAAGCCAAAUGACCACUUGGGCAAAGUCCUGAGGGUGUAGAGCACAGCCAGCAGCUCGUACGAUUGAAUAGACGGUCAAGGGUCCAGCGCCUCAAUGAGCCCGGUUUUGAUGUCGGCGAGGAGUACGUUGUUGACCCUUUUCACAUGGUCAUUUUCCUGUGGAUGGGCAGCUUACGCGAGGUCCAAUCGGAUCCCCUGGGCUGCGCAUAAACAAUUGAGCGCAUUCGUGGCGAAGUUGGUGCCAUUGUGAGUGAUGAUGUUGUGGGGGACACCAUACCAGACAAUGAUGUCCUUGAUGAAUGUGACGGUCAUUGGGCCUUCCAGCUUCUUGAUCGGCUUGACCUCGAUCCUCUAGGUGAACUUGUCAAUGGUCACCAAUAGGUGCAUCAUGCCGCCUCGAGCGGUCAUGAAUGGUCCCACUAUAUCGAGGCUCCAAACGAUGAAGAGCCACGUGAUGGGGAUGGUCUUUAGGGCUGCAACUGAGUAGUGGUUUCGAGUGCUGAAGCUUUGGCACCCAUUGCACUUGUCGACCAGGUCUUUGGCGCCUUCUAGCGCAGUCGGCUAGAGAAGCUCUAGCGGAACGCCUUAGCCACCAGAGCCCUCUAGGAGGCAUGGUGGCCAUGUUCCCCCUAGUGGAUGGCCCUGAGGAUCUCGCGCCCCAGGGGAGGGGCGGGACGCCCCGAGCCGGAGGCGGGACUCGUCGAGUUCGUUGGGACGAAGAUGGACACCUAUGCUAUUAUAUUAUCAUUCUAGGAUACUUUGUAUGUUGUUUUAUAUCAUUUUUGAGAACUAACCUAUUGACCCAGCGCCUAGGGCCCUUCGCUGUUUUCUGUGUGUUUUUGACUUUGCACUAAACCAGUACCAAAUGGAUUCCAAAUGCUGUGAAACUUUUGGAAGGAUUUUUUUGACAAAAAAUACGACUUGCAAGCUUUGGAGGGAGGUCGGAUUCUACACGAGGCUGCACCAAGGCAACAUGGCGCACCUAGGGGGUAGGGCACGCCCUGUUACCUUGGGACCACAUCGUGGCUCUCUCUGGCCUAACUCAACCUCUAUAAAUUCUCUAAAACCGGGAACACACCAGAGAUCCACCCGAAAUACUUUUUUCUCUGCCGCAAGUAUCUGUUCUGACAUGAUCCAUAUGGAGCUCUGUUUCGAUGCCCUGUGGGAGGGGGAUCAAUCAUGGAGGGAAUCUACGUCAACCUUGAUGCUCCCAUAAUGUUGUGUGAGUAUUCCACCAUAGACCUAUGGGUCCAUAGCUAGUAUAUAUAUGGAUCAAUCUCUCUCAUUUAUCUUCAAUAAAAAGUUCACGGAGAUUCUUGCGGUGAUCUAUUCAAUGUAAUCUUGUUUGUGGUAUGUUUCUUGGGAUCCGAUGAAUUGUGCAUUUAUAAUCAUAUUAUUCAUGAAUAUUAAUUGAGUCUCCACUCAAUUCUUGUAUGCAUGAUUAUAAUAGCUUCGUAUUUCUCUCCGAUUUAUCGGUUUGCUUUGGAUAACUAGACUGAUUUAUCUAUGGUGGGAGUAGUGUGUUCUGAUGGUUUCAAUCUUGUUGUUCUCAAUCACAGGAACAUAAAGGCACAUGACACGUAUUUAUAUUACUGUUAUUAAGGAUAAAAGGAUUGGGUUUAUUCAUAUGAAUUGAGUUUACUUUGUCUACAUCAUGUCAUCUUGCUACAAGCAUUACUCUAUUUCAUACUUAAUAGUCUAGAUGCAUGUUGGACAACGGUCAAUGAGUGGAGUAAUAGUAGUAUAUGCAUCCAAGAGUUGGUAUACUUGCUUAUGGACGUGAUUCAUGUAUACAUAAUCAUUGCCACGAACAAAUAAUUCAUAACUAUGUGUUAUUCUAUCAAUUUCCCAACAGUAUGCCUUCUUUGCAAGACAAGCAUCUAGCAGAAUCUAAGGCCCUUGUAUACAGAAAAUAUAUUACUAAAACCCUAAAAAUAUGGCUUCCAUUUUUUUUAUUUUUUGUGUACAUAUAUAUUAUCUAUCUAUGAGUAUUUAAUGCGUGCAAAUAACUAGUUCAAGGGACUUGACAACCCUCUUGCGUGUGUUGGGUGCAAAUGUUUGAUUAUCUGUGUGUAGGUGUUGACGACGAGAGUUUGUAUGAUCCUCCUAUUGGUUAUAUAACCUUGGUUAUCACUAAGGAAAAUAAUUAUAUCUACUAUGAUGCAUCUCUUCUUCUCUUUAGGGAAAAACCGAAUGCAGUUUUCAAGUAGAAGGAACAUCAUCAAGUUCUUAUCAGGUUCCUUCAUACAAUGUAUCUAAUUCUUAUUUUCCAUCACAUUUUCCAGCCUAAAACUAUCAAAAACAAAAAAAUAUUUAUCUUUUGUAGUUUACUUGUUUUCUUUGUUUACAUGCUAGUUUACUUGCUUCGAUUGUUAGUUUAUUUGACUCGCCUCUAUGUCUCACGAUAAUACAAAGUUGUGCGACUUCUCACAUAAUGAUAACAAUGAUUUUAUUAGUACUCCUAUACAACCCUCCAUUAAUGCAGAGUUUUUUGAUAUUAAUGCUGUAUUAUUAAAUCUUGUUAUGAAAGAACAAAUUUCCAGAAGUCCUAAUGAGGACCCGGUUUCGCAUCUCAAUACUUUCGUUGAAUUAUAUGACAUGCAAAACAAAAUUGAUGUGGAUAAUGAUGUUCGCAGACUGAAAAUAUUUCCAUUUUCAAUAAGAGACAAAGCUAAAACUUGGUUUUCAUUGUUACCUCAUAGUAGUAUUGGAACGUGUGAUAAGUGUAAAGAUGUUAAUUCAAGUAUUUUCCUCCUACUAAGAUUAUCUCUCUUAGAAAUCAAAUUUUGAAUUUUAAAUAACAUGAGAAAGAACAUGUUGCAUAAGUACGGAGAGAAUGAAAUUGAUAAUUAGGAAUUUUCCCACGUAUAGGUUUGAGUUUAUGGAUGAUUGUACAAAAUUUAUAUGUGGGGCCAAACUUUGUAUCCAAAAAUAUUAUAGAUUCUGAUGCAGGUGGUACAUUUAUGGAAGUUACAGUUGGAGAGGCUACAAAUCUUCUGGUCAAGAUCUGGACAAACUGUUCUUAAUGGCACACCAAGCUAGAUCCAACUGAUAAGAAGGUAAAUCUUGUUCUCAUGACCACUUUGAGUGAUAUAAUGGAUGCUCUCAUGAAUAUGGUUGAUAAUAAACAUUCUCAUGUUCAUCCCAAUAAUAUGCCACUAUCAACUUUGAUUGAUCAAAAUGAUGAUGCUAUUGAUGUGAAUUUUGUCUCUCGAAAUAAUUUCAACAACAAUGAAUAUAGAGGGAAUUUCAACACAAGAACUUGUCCCCGUAAUUCCUCUAAUAAUUAAGGGAAUUACUAUGGAAAUUCAUCUAGCAAUAAUAAUAGGAUACACUACAGGAAUUGGCUUCUUUGCAAUUUUCUAUAGCGGAUGACAAAGUUCAAUGUCACGGACGGCAAACACCCAGCAGACGGCCCCACUUCCAGCACUAUAAGUUACGGUAAUCAGCAUCGUUGCGGUCUUCAAAACCAUAGUGGAUGGCAAAGAACUUCGUCAUCUGUAUUCCUGGACAAGCACACGACAAAGGUGCUAGACAGCAAAGCAUACCUGUCAGCCCUGUUAGGUGGCUACCGACAGCCUUUGCCAUGAGCUAGUUGUUGGCAAAGAAGCUCUGCAUUUGUCGUUUUCCUGUUGAUGUCAGCAAUCCAUAGCUUCGUGUCACUCCUGCCUCCAUCGUCGUUGUUUGCUACCUCCACCUUUGUCGUGUGGCAAUUGGCACUUUGUCAUCUACCUGCCCCUAGCUAACAACAAAGUGACUAAAUGGGUCACACAUGUUUCUCCAAGGAUGCACAGGUAGCUGCCUUGUGGCUUAUGAUUAUUCAAAUGAUGAUUUUUGGCUUCGCAGUGUGCUGUCAUGAACUUUACCACCUCCUCGGUAAUGAAUGCCUCGGCCAUUGAUGCUUCAACUAUAUAUUUAUUUUUACAUUUUGCUCAAAGUGUCUUCUGCAUCCUCUCACUUGCAAAGCACCAACGAUUUUGCAUGGCCCCUCCAAUCUUGGUUCGGUCGGGAGAUGUAAAAUCAAAGUUCUUUCAUCUACCACGACAGGCGAUAGUUCUUUCGCACAAAGAGCACGAAAUAAAUAGCCCAUCUCUGCCAUUACUAUCCAUUCCUCCUCAGGAAUAAAGCAACGCAACAUCACCGACAUUACCCGCUCAAGCCAUAUGUGCCAAUCAUUACUAUUGAGACCAAAUAUUUUCAAUUUUUCAAGACUUGCUCCACUCUUUAGAUUCACUGCAUACCAAUCGGGAACAUGAACUGCGUUUUCACCCACAAGGUAAUUUCCAUCAUAGUUCCCCUUUUUAGAUUGAACCAGGUCUUUGGCAUCAACCAGUUUUGCUUUCCAUUAGAUUGUCACAUGUUUUGCAACGGUCUAUCACAUAGAGUCUACCGAUCGAAUCUAGCCUUAGGAUUAUCCUUUUUGUUUUUCUCUAUGUCGAACAAUGUACUAAGAAUGGCCUCUCCGAUGUUCUUUUCAGUGUGCAUCACAUCAAUGUUGUGUGUAAGACUGAGGCUUUUGAUGUAAGGUAGAUCCCACAAGCAUGUCGUGUGAGUCCAGGCGUGUUCCGAAUUAUAACCCUUGAAAUACCCAUGACGCUUUGGAUCAUGCUCAAGAGUGUUUAACUCAUCCAGGAUCUGUUGGCCUGUCAUCACAAGUGGUGUAGAGUUUUUGACAACUGUACCUUUGAUUAAGUUAUUCUUGUGUUUUCUCAAAACAUGCCCAAGAUCCGGAAACUGUUUAUGCAAGUCGGAUCAAGAAUACUUCCUACCUGGCCCCAGCCAAUGAAAUUAAAGAGCUGCAUUGCAUGUGGGGCACGAGAACCUUCCAUGCACCAUCCAGCGAAUAGAACAUACGCCGGCAAGUCAUACAUUGAGUACAUGUACCAAACAUGCAUUUUGAUGUUUCCUUUUCUAGCGGCAUUGUAUGUCUUGAACCCAUUAUCCCAAGCUUCUUGAAAUUCAUCCUUAAGAGGCUGCAUGUACUCAUUCAUAUUAUUCCCCGGAUUGUUGGUCCCUGGAAUUACCAACGUUAGGAAUAUGUUCUUUCUUUGCAUAAUCUGUCCGGGGGCGAGUGAAUGGAAUGACAAAUACAUGCCAACAACUGUACUGGGUUGCCGUCAUACUGAAUGGAUUGAGCCCAUAUGUGUCGAUGCAUACUCUAGGAUGCCUUGGAUUUGCCACUUUAUCCGGAUGUAAUGCAACGCAGUGCUUCCACAGAAAAGCAUCCAAUGUGUGUACCAACACCUGAUUCCCAUCUGCAUAUAUUUAAUCUCGUUUGCCCAAUUUGUGCCAUGCAUCUAUCUGGCCAUCCCUUAGACCAUUAAAAUACGUUGAAGUCUUGGUAUGACUGGCAUAUACUGAAGAACAUUAACGUGGGGUUUGGUCUACCUCUUCUUUCCCAUACCACUGUCUACCACAACAUACCUCAAAGACUUGCAAAUGGGACAACAGUUCAAGUCCGCAAACUCAAGCCUAUAAAUGGCACGUCCUUUCUCACAAACAUCUAUAUUAUCAUACGACAUCUUAAGUACACAAAGUAUUUUGUCCGACUGGUACAGGUUUGCAGGCAUGACAUGGCCUUUGGGUAUAAAGCUUCCAAAUAGUGCCAUCAUCGCGUCCUAGCAGUCUCUGCCCAGGUUGGUUUUGACCCUUCAAAGACAUUACUUGUGCGAUGGCAUACAACUGACAAAGCUCGGUGUUCUCGUGGAGAGGAUGUUUUGAAGACUCCAACAUUUCAUACAAGUCCUUUGCAGAUUCCUCAAUCUCAUCGUUCGAAUUCCGAGCAUGAUCAAAUUAUUGCACUAUGUCUUCGAUCCUGGUAGUAUGCUCGUCGGUGUGACGAUGAACCACCUUAGCUCUCGUACGUUGGGGAGACUCACCAUGAAAUGUCCACACCAUAUAAUCACACCUAAAACCCCUCUUCUACAGGUGUUUACCCAUUUCAUUCUCUGCCAUAUAUGAAAAGUUGUCGCACUUAUGAUAGGGGCACCAGGUAUUUCUCUGGCCAUUUGCAAAUGCGUCUUUCACAAACCCCUUGAUUUUUUAAUAAUUCAUUGGUCAUCCCUUUCUGACUAGUGUGACCGGUAUGCAUCCAAGCAUGAUCACCUAUGUCACUACUUGCACUAACAAUACGGGCACCAAAUUCAUAUUCAUAAAGUUAUAUAUAAUGUAAUUAAGACUAGAUACAUAACUAAUUACUAUUGUCAUAUUAUUUACACCAUAGUUUUAUUUUUAUCAUAAAAAAGGGAAACAUGCAUUCAUGGUUUGAAUCCUACCUUUAAUAGGUAAACAUGGGUCCUAAUGCCACCCGAGUACAUGUAGAUUGGGUUAGUUCCUAGUGCUCUACUUUGGUCCGAGGCAAAAUUUCGGCCAUACCUCCCCGCUAUUCUCGAGAUACAUGUUUGGCAACAAGCCGAGAGAAUGUGUACCCAGAGAACAAUCGGAUGGCAUUGAUGAAAUUUUUCGUCACACUGAAGUAGAGCACAUGAAAUGAAUACAAAUCUACAAUUACUCACGCUGUCCAUGGAUAAUGUGGACAAUUCGAAAGGAUGGCGGUUAUAAAUAUGCAAAGACAUGCAUAUUUAUAGAUGCCGCCCUUUCGAACGGGAGACGCCUAGGUUAUGAGACUUGACAAGAAAGUAAAAUCUAGUCGCAUCGGAACAACGAACGAAACAAAGCAAAAUAUGGGAGGGGAAGGAGGUGACAGCCGAGCUCACCUCUAGUCGAACGACGACGACAAGAACAACGGGACCAAUGGUGCUCCUGGAGGUGAAGUGAAGAUCCCUGCACAUGAAAACUAGUUUAAACAUUAUAAGAUCAUCUCAUGAGGCACGAGGCAGGCAAUUAUUGUAGUUAAACUAUAGAAUAAAUAAUGGGCAGGAAUAUUGAAAAACUGCAGUAUUUUUGUCACUCACUACUAGAUACCAUAGUUUUGACAUAUUAAAGUAUUUUUGUAGUAUUUGGAAUACUGUGACACUUUUUGGUUGGUGGAUGUUUACAACGACAAAAAAAAAAAAA
rnacentral:lncRNA from 1 species